GCUGUGGCCCAGCGGUUAAGUCGACAGCCUCUGGGCCACUAGCGCAGAGCCUGCGCGGGUUCAAAUCCCGCCGCGAGUA